UGUUCUCUUCGAUAUGUUCUAGACUUGCUCCAAUGCUUUCCAUUACUUAUUCAGGAGCUGAUUACUUUUAUUGAGCUUAUUAAGAAUCCUAGGUACAACUUCUGGAGCCGUACUUUCACUAGAUGUGCACCAGAGAUUGAGAAUCUCCACGGACAAGGAGGUAAAAUUUUCAUUUUAGCAAGUUUUUUCCUUUUUAAUUUUUCUAACGGGUAAAAGGUGGAAUUUUUCCCCAAGGCCUUAACUUUUGAAGGCUGCACAACUGGAGAGAGCUUUCUUGUGUAUAAAAUACAAAGCUUAUGUUAUAUCACACCUAAUCUAAACUACUACAACA